AGCAGCCGCGGUAAUUCCAGCUCCAAUAGCGUAUAUUAAAGUUGUUGCAGUUAAAAAGCUCGUAGUUGAAUUUCGGGGUUAGUAGAUUGGUCAUGCCUCUGGUAUGUACUGGUCUCACUGAUUCCUCCUUCCUGAUGAUCCGUAAUGCCAUUAAUUUGGUGUUGCGGGGAAUUUGGACUGUUACUUUGAAAAAAUUAGAGUGUUUAAAGCAAGCUAACGCUUGAAUACAUUAGCAUGGAAUAAUGAAAUAGGACGUUCGGUCCUAUUUUGUUGGUUUCUAGGAUUGACGUAAUGAUUAAUAGGGAUAGUUGGGGGCAUUAGUAUUCAAUUGUCAGAGGUGAAAUUCUUGGAUUUAUUGAAGACUAACUACUGCGAAAGCAUUUGCCAAGGAUGUUUUCAUUAAUCAAGAACGAAAGUUAGGGGAUCGAAGACGAUCAGAUACCGUCGUAGUCUUAACCAUAAACUAUGCCGACUAGGGAUCGGAUGAUGCUAAUUUUUUAAUGACUCA
rnacentral:rRNA from 1 species